rnacentral:rRNA from 1 species
AAAAUCGAUUCCCUGAGUAGCGGCGAGCGAAACGGGAAGAGCCCAAACCAACGAGCUUGCUUGUUGGGGUUGUAGGACACUCUAUACGGAGUUACAAAAGAACAAAUUAGACGAAUCAUCUGGAAAGAUGAAUCAAAGAAGGUAAUAAUCCUGUAGUCGAAAGUUUGUUCACUCUUGAGUGGAUCCUGAGUACGACGGAACACGAGAAAUUCCGUCGGAAUCCGGGAGGACCAUCUCCCAAGGCUAAAUACUCUCUAGUGACCGAUAGUGAACCAGUACCGUGAGGGAAAGGUGAAAAGUACCCCGGAAGGGGAGUGAAAUAGAACUUGAAACCGUGUGCUUACAAGUAGUCAGAGCCCGUUAAUGGGUGAUGGCGUGCCUUUUGUAGAAUGAACCGGCGAGUUACGAUUUGAUGCAAGGUUAAGCAGUUAAUGUGGAGCCGUAGCGAAAGCGAGUCUGAAUAGGGCGUUGAGUAUUUGGUCGUAGACCCGAAACCAGGUGAUCUACCCAUGACCAGGCUGAAGUUCAGGUAACACUGAAUGGAGGGCCGAACCGACUUACGUUGAAAAGUGAGCGGAUGAGUUGUGGGUAGCGGAGAAAUUCCAAUCGAACCUGGAGAUAGCUGGUUCUCUCCGAAAUAGCUUUAGGGCUAGCCUUAAGUAAUGAUUAUUGGAGGUAGAGCACUGUUUGGACGAGGGGCCCUUAUCGGGUUACCGAAUUCAGACAAACUCCGAAUGCCAAUCAAUUUUAUCUUAGGAGUUAGAACGCGGGUGAUAAGGUCCGUGUUCGAAAGGGAAACAGCCCAGACCACCAGCUAAGGUCCCAAAAUAUAUGUUAAGUGGAAAAGGAUGUGGCGUUGCCCAGACAACUAGUAUGUUGGCUUAGAAGCAGCCAUCAUUUAAAGAGUGCGUAAUAGCUCACUAGUCGAGUGACACUGCGCCGAAAAUGUACCGGGGCUAAACAUAUUACCGAAGCUGUGGAUUGUCCGUAAGGACAGUGGUAGGAGAGCGUUCUAAGGGCGUUGAAGCAUGAUCGCAAGGACAUGUGGAGCGCUUAGAAGUGAGAAUGCCGGUGUGAGUAGCGAAAGACGGGUGAGAAUCCCGUCCACCGAUUGACUAAGGUUUCCAGAGGAAGGCUCGUCCGCUCUGGGUUAGUCGGGUCCUAAGCUGAGGCCGAUAGGCGUAGGCGAUGGAUAACAGGUUGAUAUUCCUGUACCACCAAAUUUCGUUUUAAGCGAUGGGGGGACGCAGUAGGAUAGGCGAAGCGUACUAUUGGAUUGUACGUCCAAGCAAUGAGACUGAGUGUUAGGCAAAUCCGGCACUCUUAAGGUCAAGUUGUGAUGGGGAGAGGAAAUUGUUUCCUCGAGUCGUUGAUUUCACACUGCCAAGAAAAGCCUCUAGCUAGAAUUUUGGUGCCCGUACCGCAAACCGACACAGGUAGUCAAGAUGAGAAUUCUAAGGUGAGCGAGCGAACUCUCGUUAAGGAACUCGGCAAAAUGACCCCGUAACUUCGGGAGAAGGGGUGCUCUUUAGGGUUAACGCCCAGGAGAGCCGCAGUGAAUAGGCCCAAGCGACUGUUUAUCAAAAACACAGGUCUCUGCUAAACCGUAAGGUGAUGUAUAGGGGCUGACGCCUGCCCGGUGCUGGAAGGUUAAGAGGAGUGGUUAGCUUCGGCGAAGCUACGAAUCGAAGCCCCAGUAAACGGCGGCCGUAACUAUAACGGUCCUAAGGUAGCGAAAUUCCUUGUCGGGUAAGUUCCGACCCGCACGAAAGGCGUAACGAUUUGGGCACUGUCUCAACGAGAGACUCGGUGAAAUCAUAGUACCUGUGAAGAUGCAGGUUACCCGCGACAGGACGGAAAGACCCCGUGGAGCUUUACUGUAGUCUGAUAUUGAAAUUCGGUACAACUUGUACAGGAUAGGUAGGAGCCUUUGAAACGUGAGCGCCAGCUUACGUCGAGGCGUUGGUGGGAUACUACCCUUGCUGUGUUGGAUUUCUAACCCGCACCAUUUAUCAUGGUGGGAGACAGUGUCAGAUGGACAGUUUGACUGGGGCGGUCGCCUCCUAAAGAGUAACGGAGGCGCUCAAAGGUUUCCUCAGAAUGG